CAGUAGCCGCGGGAAUACGGAGGGUGCAAGCGUUAAUCGGAAUUACUGGGCGUAAAGCGCACGCAGGCGGUCUGACAAGUCAGAUGUGAAAUCCCCGGGCUUAACCUGGGAACUGCAUUUGAAACUGUCAGGCUGGAGUCUUGUAGAGGGGGGUGGAAUUCCAGGUGUAGCGGUGAAAUGCGUAGAGAUCUGGAGGAAUACCGGUGGCGAAGGCGGCCCCCUGGACAAAGACUGACGCUCAGGUGCGAAAGCGUGGGGAGCAAACAGGAUUAGAUACCCGCGUAGUCCUGUCUCUUAUACA
rnacentral:rRNA from 1 species